UCGAUGUGUUUGUUUGAUCGUGUGUUAUUAGGUUUGCUGUAAUGAAAUGAGACGUAGUUCGCGAGCACGAAAGUGCCAGAAGAUGGCUUGAGUCUCGCUGUAAGCACGCCGUAUGCGUGGCGCGCCAGCUAAAUGUGGACCAACGAUUUUCAUGCCAUGGAGUGCGUUCCCUUUGUCUCCGCUUGUGUUCGUGGAAAGUUUGGUGGACGGCGCAAAGAAGUAAUGCGUAUUAUUAGCGCGCGUCAGCUCGUCCACUACCCAGUGGCUUGCUUGCUGCAAGUAACAUCGCAGACGCAUCACUGGAAACUUGGAGAGUGCCUUUCGACCUCGUCGUACUGUUGAAACGUGGCGAGGCCGUGACCCACAACAUAAACUACAAGAUCGAGGAGCCCCAAGAAAUGCAGACCCUGUGGAUAUAUGGCUGCAGCAGCAUGGCAUGUGAUCUGGAUGGUCAUGACAGGCUCCACCGUCGCCGUUACUAGACGGACCAAAUGAGGCCAAAAACUAGCCUUUCCUCGCUCCAUUCCUGGGAAGUGAAAUAGCAGGUGAUCAUGUAAGAAUGAACUUGCAACCAUGUGGGCAGUAGCCAAAGCUCCCUACAGUUCAUGCUGGUGGUGGAAUGAUAAGACAAACCGCAAUAUUUAUUUGUUUACUUAUUCACUUAAUAUUUAUUUAUUCAUAUCUCAUGAAUACUGUGCAGUUUUUUUAGCAAGGAGUCAGGUAAAAUAAAGCAAUAUUGUUGCAUCAAAGUAAACAUUAUUUGA